rnacentral:rRNA from 1 species
CCUACGGGUGGCAGCAGUGAGGAAUAUUGGGCAAUGGAGGCAACUCUGACCCAGCCAUGCCGCGUGAGUGAAGAAGGUUUUCGGAUUGUAAAGCUCUAUCAGCGGGGAAGAAGGAAGACGGUACCCGACUAAGAAGCCCCGGCUAACUACGUGCCAGCAGCCGCGGUAAUACGUAGGGGGCGAGCGUUAUCCGGAUUUACUGGGUGUAAAGGGAGCGUAGACGGCGUCGCAAGUCUGAAGUGAAAGCCCGUGGCUCAACCGCGGAACCGCUUUGGAAACUGCGAGGCUGGAGUGCUGGAGAGGUAAGCGGAAUUCCUGGUGUAGCGGUGAAAUGCGUAGAUAUCAGGAGGAACACCGGUGGCGAAGGCGGCUUACUGGACAGUGACUGACGUUGAGGCUCGAAAGCGUGGGGAGCGAACAGGAUUAGAUACCCCGGUAGUC